rnacentral:lncRNA from 1 species
AAUAGCAAACAAUCAUGUAUGACUUCUAUAUGUACACGUUUAGUUUUUUUAACUAAUGAUAUUUCUUAUUUUUUGACAAAAUCUUUAUUUAUAAAAUAGGCUAAGGCUCUUGAAUCUAACAAAGCUAAGACUUUGUGAUUUUUUGGUCCCAAAUAAACUUCUAUUGUAAAACAAGAUGAAAGAUUUGAGGAGAAAAUAGGACCUUUAUUAGGAAUUAUAGAAGAUUUUAGCAGUAUGAUUCCUAUUGUAGCAAGAUAAACUUGUUUUUUGAUACAUUGGCUUCUUUGGCAACUGUGAUUGUCGUUUUACU